CGGCCGCGGAGCAGCCCGGCGGGUGUCACUUCUCGGGGCGGACUGGGGAGGUGUUGGGGGACAGGCGGAAUGAAAGGCUGUAAAGGGCGUAAAAGGCUCACCCGAAAGACCCACGAUACCGGCGGAGAGGAGAGAGAGGAUCGGGGCAGCACAUGAGAUGGGCAGGAAUGAGGUUUCUGUGUUGGCGAGGCAGGGGUGAGAAGGGAAGGGAAGCAGCAAACUGCCUGGCUUAUUUCGGGUGCUGAUGACGACCAAAUCCCAAACCCUUCUCUCAGGGAAAAGUCAGUUGAAUUUCGGUGUUUCUUCCGAGGCUGGGCUGUGGUUUGAGACUUAAGAACAGGUUGCAAGUACUCCCAGCUGUAGCGAGCAACAAAUGUCUCGAUUUGUUCUUGCUUUGGAAAGAAUAUUUGCUGACCAUCAAAAUGCAACAGUUGCUGCUUGUUUUGACCUUCUCUGUGGGGCAUGCUUCUUGCUUUUGAGAGUCCUGAAGUCACAAACUACCUGGCUGUGUCUUUGCAGGAGGCCAGUUUUACUUGGCAGGAGAAGGUUAUAGUUAAUAUCGGAAUGGUUAUCCUGACUACUGUCACUGGCCUAGGAGAUGCCUGGAAGAUGGUGAGUGCAUGGUGAUUCCUUCCUGGGAAGAUCUCCUUGUUCCAGGGAUAUGAAAUACCAGGAGGCCCUGAACCACACCCAGUGGCUGAAAUAUUUCACAGAUGUAAGAUGUGAUUCUUCAUUCCAGGAAACCCUAAAAGGAUGUUCCUUUGCAUGGAAGAAGGCGAAGAAACAGUGAAAAAGGAGAAGUCCACACAGGGAGAAAAACUAUUUUGUAUAGCAUAAUAACCUUGUCAGGAAACAGAAAACAAAGUCCUGCCCCAUCUCAAGCUGUGGAAAACCUUGAACUCAGAAGAAACAAUAAGCUCAAACCAUAUAAGAGAAAGCGACUCAAACUUUUGAUAUUAAAAAAGAGGAUCUGUAAUUCUGAAGUGAUUUGCAAAUCUGCAUUUAGGACCACUCAUCCAAGAUAAUGUGGAUUUUCCCAGCCGUUUGGAAGGUUGUAUAGUGUGAUCAUGCUAAGGAAUUCAUGCUGGAUUAAAAAUGUCUCCAAAGAAGAUGCCCCAUAUGAACUUCUAAUGGAUAUGUGGAGAGCAAUGUGUUCCUUGCAUGCUCUGUGGAAAAGCCUAUCAAGACUGAAGAUAUGAGAGAUUAAUUGAGGAAAGGUUUUGAGGGAAAGCACCAUGGUCAACUCAACAGCUGCAGAGC